rnacentral:rRNA from 1 species
GACGAACGCUGGCGGCGUGCUUAACACAUGCAAGUCGAACGGAAAGGCCCUGCUUUUGUGGGGUGCUCGAGUGGCGAACGGGUGAGUAACACGUGAGUAACCUGCCCUUGACUUUGGGAUAACUUCAGGAAACUGGGGCUAAUACCGGAUAGGAGCUCCUGCUGCAUGGUGGGGGUUGGAAAGUUUCGGCGGUUGGGGAUGGACUCGCGGCUUAUCAGCUUGUUGGUGGGGUAGUGGCUUACCAAGGCUUUGACGGGUAGCCGGCCUGAGAGGGUGACCGGCCACAUUGGGACUGCGAUACGGCCCAGACUCCUACGGGAGGCAGCAGUGGGGAAUAUUGCACAAUGGGCGGAAGCCUGAUGCAGCAACGCCGCGUGCGUGAUGACGUCCUUCUGGUUGUAAACCGCUUUCGCCUGUGACGAAGCGUGAGUGACGGUAAUGGGUAAAGAAGCACCGGCUAACUACGUG